AGGCUGAAAAUUCACUGACACAAUUGGAUCUUCCACCUUCCACCUUUAUUAUCGGGGCAAUUGUCAACCUUUGGAAAUAAACCAGAAUGUUUUCAUCCACUCAUGGUACUCACGAGCCAGCUUGGAUUCCAACCUAUCAGAUGAAGAUGCUUCCCGCACUAGAUCUGCAGACUGCACCACUUGGCAUCUGUUACCAGACUCUCUAAAACCUGUGUGUGGGAGAAACUGUUGUCACAAUAGGAACAAUUAAGUUUAAUGCGAAUCUAUGGAAGAAUGUUUAUUAACCACACAGAAGAGGCUGAAAAUCAGAAGAACAACCUAUAGAAUUGUGAAGAAGUUUUGUAAGCCUUGAAAAAAUGAAAUGCUGCUAUCCAAUGUAUACAGUGUCUAUCCUAUAUUACAAUCAAGUUUAUUUGUAUAUGUUGUAAUACAUAAAUGCACAUUACAGCUUACGAUUGUUUUCAUUUAGUCAUAAGUCAAUGUAUUAUUUGAAUGUCUAUUAAGCAGUAUUAUGCAAAGGAAUGGAUGGGCACAAGCAGCCAAGCUCCCUCUCCCCAAGCAAGAACAGAAUAUAGUCCUUUUGGUUUACAGUAGUUCAUCAUUGAUUAACCACUUAUGUUUCUCUAAGGGUCAAUCAGUAAUUGUGAGACAUAGAUCUCUACAGCUCGGUCCCUUACAUACAAUAAUGGGAAGCUACUAUAAAGUUCCAGGAAAACAGAAGCUCGGUUUGUCUAAAUGCUCCAGAUUUAGCGGAAUGUUUAAGUUAUUGUUUAUGUAUCAAUGAGCAUUUUUCUUGUGAAGUUUAAUAAAUUAUGUAUGUUUUUUGUACAUAAAGGACAUAAACUGCAUCCAUGUGUAAGUUAAAAUGCUUUACAAUGGCCCUUUGAGGCAUAGAAUGGACUUUAUCCUUCUUCUAUCAAUGUCCUGGUAAAAUUACUUUGACAUCUUUGUGUAGUCAGGUGGAUAAAAAAAAACAGGACUGAAACUUAAAAAGGAUUUAGUGAAAGUGUAAACGUAUUAUAAUCUAUCAAAGAGAAUCUGUCGGGUAUCAUUUUUGUUUUAGCAAAUAUUUCUAUUACCCCAGAGAUAAUGCUGGAACAUUUUUUUCUUAGAACUCAGUAUUUUGCCAUUCCUCUGUUAAUUCUCUAGGACAGUAAUGUUCUACAUACAAUGCUUAAAAAAAGCUCCAAAAAGCUACAAACUUAUGGCAAUCACAUCUAGGGAUAAUUUGGAUCUGGUUGCAGUAAAUGCGACAUGGUUCAAUGAUUGUAAUGACUGGGAAAUCGCCAUACCUGGUUGCACACUGUACAGGAAAGACAGAGAAGACGAAGUGGUGGAGUAGCCGUUUAUGUCAAGGGUAGUCUUAAUUCAGGAGACACACAAAGUGCUGGAAACCCUUUGGAUUUGCAUGAAAACAAAAGAGGGAACUGUGGCCUCCAGGGCAAAGUGAGGAUUAUCACAACAAGUUGGUGGAGGAAAUUUCUCGAAUAGCUGAAAAGGGAAAUAUUGCAGUUAUGGGUUACUUCAACAUGCCUGGUGUAGACUGGAAUAUCUCUAGUGCUCUUUCAUGCAAGAGCAGGAGUAUAAUUGAUGCUC